ensembl:lncRNA
GCCAGGGCGAUCUGAGGGUCACAGUGAGGGUCUCCAAGGGCCCCUCACUCCUCCAGUACAGCCUAGCUUGUCCCCCAAUGCAGUGAUCGACAUCAGGUCCUCUGCUGGUGUACCGCGAUGCAGAUGCUGAGGCCGCGGUCAGGGCGGGGCCCAGCACUUCAUCCGGCCCACCAGCAGAGGACCUGAUGUCGAUCACUGCAUUGGGGGACAAGCUAGGCUCUGGAGAUGAAGAUUCGGCUGCGUUGACUCCUUCUGGGAGAGCGGCAUUGCCCGAGUCAGAUCCAGAGUUGACUGCUAUGCUUGCCCGGGCCGCCGAGAGCGUCGGGCUGCCAUGGAAGGCCCCUCCAUCGCCCGAACGCUCAAGGCUGGACGAUUGGUUCUUGGGGGUGCCGCACGCCGAUCGUCGGCAGCCACCUCCAGUUCCAUUCUUCCCGGAAGUGCAUGAGGAGGUUACUAGGUCCUGGAGGGCACCUUUUUCUGCCCGAAACAGAUCUAGUGCCUCCUCCAUCCUCACUACCCUCGACGGCGGGGCGGCAAAGGGGUAUGUGGAGAUCCCCCAAGUUGAGCGCGCUAUUGCGAUGCAGCUUUGCCCGCAAAGCUCUGCUGCCUGGCGGGGUAAUCCACGCUUCCCGUCCAGGGCCUGUAAGUUCUCAUCCGCACUGACGGACAAGGCUUACAGAGCUGCUGGACAGGCCGCCUCUGCCCUGCAUGCCAUGGCCCUCCUGCAGGUCUACCAGGCCAAGGCGUUAAAGCAGCUGCACGAGGGUAGUUCUGACCCAGGUGUCAUGCAGGAGCUGCGCACUGCAACGGACCUUGCCCUACGGGUGAUGAAAGUCACAGCGCGGUCCCUGGGUCAGACGAUGUCCACGCUAGUGGUCCAGGAAUGCCACCUUUGGCUUACCCUGGCAGAUACGAGGGAGUCCGACAAGCACCACUUCUUGGACUCCCCGAUCUCCCAGGCUGGCCUUUUCGGCGAUGCGGUGGAGAGCUUCGCCCAACAGUUCUCCGCCGUGCAGAAGCAGACGGACGUGAUCAAGCACAUCCUGCCCUGGCGGCCCGCUGCUGCCGUCACCCAGCCACCGGCCGCAGCCCCUCUGCCUGCUCAUCGCCAAGGGUGCCCUCUUGCUGCCUCCACCUCCGCUCCAGCCCGGCCACAGCAGCAGCCUUCACGGCCAAACUCUCCCCUGUGCAGAGGAUCUCUUUUGUGUCGAGUUGGACUCGGUCAACCUGACGGCGCGUCUUUCAACAGAGCGCGCUCAGUCGAUGCUGAACUGCCUGGAGUCAUUUCGGGGCAGGAAGGCGGUCCCACUGAAACAGUUUCAGAGGCUCCUGGGGCAUAUGGCAUCUGCUGCCGCUGUCACGCCACUCAGAUUGGUUCAUAUGAGACUGCUUCAGCAUUGGCUUCACGAUCGAGUCCCGAGAUGGGCAUGGCAAUGCGGCACGCACCGGGUCUUGGUUACCCCGUCCUGCCGCCAAACCUUCAGCCCGUGGUUGGACCUUGCUUUUCUACGGGCAGGGGUUACCCUAGUGCAAGUGUCCUGGCAUGUUGUUGUUUCAACAGAUGCCUCUGCCAUCGGCUGGGGUGCCGUGUGCAAUGGGCAUGCAGCUUCAGGCACCUGGACAGGGCCUAGUCUGCAGUGGCAUAUUAAUUUCCUAGAGUUGCUGGCAGUAUGGUUUGCUCUCCGCUGCUUCAAACCGAGGCUUCGCAACAGGCACGUACUGGUCCGGACGGACAAUACUGCGACCGUUGUGUACAUCAACCACCAGGGUGGUCUACGCUCCCGUCGCAUGUCACAACUCGCCCGCCAUCUCCUUCUUUGGAGUCAGAAGCAUCUGAGGUCGCUUCGUGCUGUUCACAUCUUUGGGGAUGCUCAGGUAGACCUGUUUGCCUCUCCGGACACGUUCC